ensembl:lincRNA
GCUGGGAUUACAGUCGUGAGCCACCGCACCCGACCCUAAUCGGCUUUUGCCAUCCAGUGUCGGGCCCAGCCUUCUCCCGCAAGUAUGCAAAACAAGUUGGUAAAAAUCAGAGAAGCUGGAUGGGUAAGCCUGAACUGUGAAGUUAGAUUUGUCGGUAAAAUGAUGGGGCUCUUCAGUAACUUCAGGAAAUGCCUUAGAUAUAGCAUGGAGUUCAGCUUUAGUUCCAGAGACAUAAGAAAUUUGAGGACCUCAGUGUCGUCAGACAGCCUGGUUUUAAGGGGAUAAGUUUUUAUAGGUUGAGGUUAUGAAGCAGAAGGGGAAGGGCUGUUAGUGGGGAAAGACAUCAGAAAAGAAAGAAAGAGAAGGGUUAAGAACCAGUAUAUGGGACCUGAGAGAGAAAGAUUUGGGCUUCAAAUGCUUUUUUUUUUUUUCUGAGACAGUCUCGCCUGUCGCCCAGGCUGGAGUGCAGUGGCAUGAUGUCAGCUCACUGCAACUUCUGCCCCCGGGUUCAAGCGAUUCUCCUGCCUCAGCCUCCCAAGUAGCUGGGACUACAGGCGCGUGCCACGAUGUCUGGUUAAUUUUUUUUUUUUUUUUUAAGUAGAGACAGAGUCUCGCCAUAUUGGCCAGGCUGGUCUCGAACUCCUGGCCUCAAGUGAUCUGCCCACCCUGGCCUCCCGAAAUGCUAAGAUUCCAGGUAUGAGUCACUGCGCCUGACCCACCUGUCUAAUUUUUAAAUUUUUUUUAGAGGCUGGGUCUCACUAUGUUUUUCAGGCUGGUCUUUGACUCCUGGGCUCAAGCAGUCCUCCCACCUUGGCCUCACAGAAUGCUGGGAUUACAGGUGCGAGCCCCUGUGCCUGGACACAACCUAUUAAUAGUAGUAGUAAUAAUAAUAACAUGUCCCCCUGUCCUUCUCUGGCCUUACUGAGUAGUCCCAGGCUUUCCCCACAUGCCUCUCAGGACUCAGUUUCCCCAUCUCGAUGCUCUUUCAGUCCCCUCUCUUGCCGGGUGUCCUAGUGGCCAGGGUGGUGGGUGGGGCCGCUAUCUUCCUGGCCUGUUUGCUCUCCCUCUUCCGGGGCUGCUACCCUGGCCAAGGCCCUUGAAUAAAAGGCAAGGGCACCUAUGUCCUGCUUCCUUCUCUCCAGCCUGGAUCAUGCUCUGGCUCCUCUCUGCCCUGGUGCUCCUGGGAGCGCUGGCCACCCCAGCAGGAAGCUCCAAGACAUGUCCAGCCUGCUCUUUGCUGCGAAACUGCACUAAAAUAACUUGUCCUUCUGCCCAGGACUCCUGCUUGUUUAGCCAGAUGCAGCUGGAAAAUGGGACUCUCAUUGAGAAGGGGUCAUGUGUGGCCCCUGGAGAAUGCCAAGAAGGUGUCUACGCCCUGACCUACGGCCCCCAUGCAAGUCUCUGGGUCAGCACAGCCUGUUGCGAAAACAACUGCAGUAGCCUUCCCCAGCAAGAGGCAGGGCCCAAGGCCAAGCUCAACACUGUGAAAUGUCACUACUGUUCCGGGAAUAUGUCAGCUUCAUGUGACUCCCUUUUGGUCAUGAACUGCACUGGGAAACAGACUGCAUGUGUCACCCUCAACGGGACCUGGAGUAGAGGGGGUCCCCAAAUUCUGAAGGGCUGUGCUACACCAGAGGUCUGCAACUUAUAUGAGAAUGCCACCCUGGGUCCAGAAGACUCUGGAUUUCAUCUCACCGCUAAGCCUGAAUGCAACUACCUUACUCCUCCUACACAGCCAGGUCCUCAUGCAACUGUGACACACGCCAAAGCUGAGACCACCAUCUGCUUCACCUGCUCAGACCUCCACAGCUGUGGCCCACUUCCGUGCCCAGAGGAUAAUAACUACUGCCUUCAGAUCGCAGGCAUCACAGACUUUGGAGAAGGUAACCCUGUCUCCUGGAGAAACGGUUUCUGUGUGACCUCCAAGGACUGCAAAUUUGGCAACUCCAUCUAUGCCCUGACCUAUGGCGUUGGCUUUGGCUUCUGGGUCAACACCACCUGUUGCCAAGGCAACUGCCAGGAGCCCACCCCUCUCGCAAUUCAUCUGGCCUCACACACCCUGAGUGAGAUCUUGUGUCCUACAUGUCCUGGGAGCUCCUUGGAGCCCUGCAAUUCCUCCUUCUACAUGCAGUGUCCCAGUGGGGAAACUGAGUGUGUCCAGCUGGACCUGACGUCUGAAGAAGGCGGCCGGAACGUGAGCGUACGCGGCUGCGGCUCCAGAGACCUGUGCAGCGCCCUGUACUGGACCCACGGGCUCCCGGUGCUACCGAGACAUCGGCUGUCCAGCCACUGCAGCCCCGGCCGCCGCGCGGUCCUAGAGUCCCACUGCCGCUCGGGCGCCGCGCCCGGCCUCCGCCUCACCCUGCCGGUUCUGGCGGCAGUCCUGGCGACCGCGACGCUGUCCUAAGGAAUCCCGCCUGGACCACCCUGCCGUCCAGGAGGCCCCCUCCUCCUGCUUGUCGGGCACGUCGCUAGAUGGUGCCCUGGCUCCCCUCUGCUGGGGCAAUGAGCAGACCUGGAAGCUUCUGGUGAGAAACUCAGGAAGUAGGGGUGAUCUGCCUCCCUCAGACUAGUGCUUCCCAAAGCCAGACCUUCUGCUCCAGACUCAGGGCUUACUCACGGCUAAGUCCUCUUUCCUCCCACCAGGGCCCCAAAGGCCAUGCCUCCAUCAGCCUAGGGUGUGUCUUCCCCCCUCAGACUAAGGCCACUCACCCCCUGCUGAGAUCAGACCUUUGCUCAGCUCAGGCGAGGGGGGGGGGGCGCUGUACCUCCCCACUCUGAUUGGCACUUUCCCCAAGGCCAAACCUCCUCACUCAGAAGAGGGCUGUUCUUCUUCCUCAGGUUAGAGACACCCCCAUAGCUACACAUUCUUUCCUUUAGAUCAGAGGCCCUCAAAGACUAAGCCUCCUUCUUCAAACGAGGGGGUCCCCAACAUCCGGCUGCUCCUGGACACCAGGGAUGUGUCUCUUCUCCCACACAUUGACAAGCAACUUCUCCUCUUUCGUUCUCCCUCUUUGGGGUCUAGCAAAAUCCUGGGCAGCCAAGGUGGGGCUUGAGGAUCCAAUACACCCGCUUCCAAGGUUUUCAGGGCAGCCUCCUCCACCCCUACCGUGGUCCAAGACCGGGCAGGGGGCUUGGGUGGGGUGAAGAGCCCCUCUUCUGUGUGGGCUCAAUCUCCCAGCUGUAACCAGAUCUGAAUGAAUCACAUCUCACAAUGCCAAGUGGUCUGAGUUUCCUUUUUCUGACGUUUUAACCUCAAAGAGGGACCUGAUGUGGUCCUCUCUUCUCUGGGGCUAGAGGAGGUUAAGCCUCUUCAACUGGGGAACCUGGUGGGGACAUACUGACAACAGUGUCUGGGAGCCAGGGUGGGCAUAAGACCAAAUGCUGCAUCUAGAACUGAACUCAGAGGACUGAGCGGAGAGGUGACACUGGGGAGCUCACCAUAGGCAGAAAGCCAGGAACCGUUUGCUUUCUGCUGAAAGUGGCUGGGCGUGGUGGCUCACGCCUGUAAUCCCAGUGACCGGGGGCUGACAGUGGGAGAGAGGGCUACCUAAGAAACCACUCCAGGCCAUGCACCAGACAGAUUA